AUUGAACGCUGGCGGCAGGCUUAACACAUGCAAGUCGAACGAUGACUCUCUAGCUUGCUAGAGAUGAUUAGUGGCGGACGGGUGAGUAACAUUUAGGAAUCUGCCUAGUAGUGGGGGAUAGCUCGGGGAAACUCGAAUUAAUACCGCAUACGACCUACGGGUGAAAGGGGGCGCAAGCUCUUGCUAUUAGAUGAGCCUAAAUCAGAUUAGCUAGUUGGUGGGGUAAAGGCCCACCAAGGCGACGAUCUGUAACUGGUCUGAGAGGAUGAUCAGUCACACCGGAACUGAGACACGGUCCGGACUCCUACGGGAGGCAGCAGUGGGGAAUAUUGGACAAUGGGGGCAACCCUGAUCCAGCCAUGCCGCGUGUGUGAAGAAGGCCUUUUGGUUGUAAAGCACUUUAAGCAGGGAGGAGAGGCUAAUGGUUAAUACCCAUUAGAUUAGACGUUACCUGCAGAAUAAGCACCGGCUAACUCUGUGCCAGCA
rnacentral:rRNA from 1 species